UGUAACAGGCCUGCCGUUUACCUCGCUCCUGAAUAUCGGAAAGGGCGGCGUUCGUCGUCCACAGAACAACACAUGAGAAUUAUAGACACUGCCAGGCUCAAGACGCAGUGACACAGCUCCCACCACAGAGAGCCCUGAGGGGUGCUUUCCAGUGGCGGUUGGUGGAGUGGGCAGGGUCCUCGGGGAACCAGAGGCCUGCUGUCCCUCUGGAGAGCUGCCUGUUCAAGAUGCCAUGGCUAGAUUCCUUGAUCUCUUGGCAACACGUGGUCCCGUGAAACGCUCUUCUUCUUUUUGAAAAGGGCCCUUUCUUUGGGAGUCAAAUUACCACCCCAUUUAGAUUCCCUGUCCUCCUGGACAGCAUCUUCCCAAGUGCUUCCCCCAACUUGUAGUCCACCGUGUCUGACACCCCAUCUCUAUCUCUAUCAAUCAACACUAUUCACCACCUCAAGACACACUUCAACCGACCCUUCCUUCCAUGGAGCCCUGUCUUUUGGUCACCCCAGUGAGUAGGGAUCUCUCUCUUCUGAAUGCCUGGAAUGUUUUAUAUCUCCUACAGCAUGCUGAACACAUUGCCUUCUGUUAUAGUUGGGUGUCAACAUAUGGUAUCUUCCUUACAAGAGAUUAGCUUGCUUCUAAGACCUUUGUCUUUUUACUAGAUCAAUUUACUUGAUAGACGAAAAGACUCAUAGAAGUCAUCUCAAUCAACGUACCUGUGUUGUACAUGAGGGAAUGAGCCCUAGAGAGCUGACACAGUUUAGACAGAUUCACACGGCUAGGCUAGAGGAGAGCUGGAAUUCACUUCCACCCUGAAAUCAGGAAAGCGCUUGGCCAGAAUGAAGACAGAAAAGGUUGAAUGAAUCAAUGAUUCCGACAAAUCCCUGAGACCUGCCAUCCCACUGUCAAAAGUGGUUCAGCCAGAGACACAGACUCAUCCCAGAGAUAACCAUCCCACGUAGCAUGCAUUCAGGUGGCACCAUCAGCAGCACACGGUAAGCCACACACAGUAUCCGUUCCCAUCUAAAGGGCUUUUCACGAGAAGCUCAUUCCGAGCUUCUUGAUAAGCAACUGGGUAGUGGUGUUAUUUUUAAUCAACCGUCCAGGGACGAAAGUUCUUCGGAGAAUUCUGCUUUUAUACAUAAAAAAAAACAACAACAGAAAAUCAACCUAGCACUAAUAAAAGAUGGUUGAAAAUUGCUAAUACCAACCAAUUGUGAAACUUUGUCUGACAAAAAAGGAGAAUGCUUAUGGGUUUCCUUGUCUCCUUUACUGUAAACAACGCAGAGGGCUCAGCUCCCACUACUGUCUCCCCCUGCACUCAGCAGGCGGCUCUUGGUUAUUACAGGAGGCUGCCUUACCAUUAGCACAGCAAUGCCAAUUAAUUGCAGUCAUGAGCAGACUUCACAUUUAAGGAAACUCACAGCCUGAGCCCUAGCAGCAUUUGGAGAUUCAGAAUGUGUUGAAAAGGCUCUGUUUCCAGGAGGAGAUGGAAAUAAAUUACCAAUGCUUCCUAAAAUCCAGACGCUCCCUUUGGAAGCGGGUGACUCCAGGCAGCCUUUGACAAGGGACUCAUUUAGCACUCGGUACUGCUGCAGCUCAAUGAAAAGAGAGCCUGCAUUGAAGGCACAAAUUAUGUCCACAGUCCUUGUCACUGGUAAAAAA